CUCGCGGAUCUUCCUCACCCGCCCCCGCCCCACUAACCGGCGGACCGGCUGCAAGUCUCCUCCUCCGACCGCAGCCACCCCCGCGCUACCGCCGCUGUCGCCAUCAGGGCCAACAGUCCGAGCAACAGCGACAGGCCCAUCAGCUCCGGCAUUUGUGGGAGCUCCAUGUCUGCACCGCCGCUGCCACCUCAGCCUUUGACUACGCGGGCAACUGCACGCCUCCGCGGGGCCGCGCACGCACAGGGCGGGGCCUGACCGUUGGCGCGUCCCGAGGGACGGGGCGGGGCUUGCCCGUUGGGGCGUCUCGCGGGGCGGGGCUGAACCUUUGGUUCGUCUAGAAGGGCGGGGCCUGGUUGCCGGAAGGACUCGUGGGUGGGGCUUGACCGUUGGUGCGUCUCGCAGGGCGGGGCCUGACUGUUGGAGUGACUCGCUGGGCGGUGUCCACCCAUGGAUCGUCCCGAGGGCCGGGGCCUGGCCCUUCUGGGGUCUGGUUCUUGAAGCUGCGUUGUCUCUCCCAAGCUGGGAGGCGAAUUCUGCAGGCUCUGCGGAGUCCUCCCCUUGAAUUCAAAAAGGGUUGGAAAAAACGAACAGGAAGUUUCCAUGAACAUUCACCCAGUUUCCCCCAAUGGUAACAUCUUAACAUAACUAUAGUGUGAUAUCAAAACCAGGAAACUGGCCUCCAUACAACCUGUGGAGUUCAUUCAGCUCUAACCAAAAAGGAACUACUCUGAAAGACUGAUUGAUUGUAUUUGAAUUAGACCUGCUUGGGUGGAAAGGGAAUGUUCUCAGAACAGGGAGCAAUGCUCCACAGGUCUCCCAGCCCUACAACCCAGAGUAAGUACCAGAGUCAGGGAUUCCAGAUUCAGAGAUUUCCAUGCCCACCUGGGAACCUCUCCUGUAGUGUAGACUCUCAGGCCUUUACAAGGACCCUCUAAGGGGAGAGGAUGUUGCAGAGACCAGACGACGCGUAACCUUGGUUGAGGACAUAGAUCCAGUCAGAGAGCAAACAGAGGUCUCUACACCCAACAUGGGGAUCAAACUCAUGACCCUCAAGAUCAAGAGUUGCAUGUUCCACUGACUGAGCCAGCUGGGUGCCACGAGAAACCUGUACUUUUAGAAGAACUUCCUUCAGGACACCUGGGUGGCUCAAUUGCUUAAGUGUCAGCUCAAGUCAUGACCUCAUGGUUCUUGAGUUCGAGCCCCA